AUGGACUGGAUUUGGAGGAUCCUCUUCUUGGUGGCAGCAGUGACAGGUGCCCACUCCCAGGUCCAGCUGGUGCAGUCUGGGGCUGAGGUGCAGAAGCCUGGGUCCUCAGUGAAGGUCUCCUGCAAGGCUUCUGGAUACACCUUUACUAGCUCUGCUAUGCAGUGGGUGCCACAGGCCCCUGAACAAGACCUUGAGUGGAUAGGAUGGAUCGUCAUUGGGAAUGGUAACACAAACUACGCACAGAAGUUCCAGGGCCGAGUCACCAUUACCAGGGACACAUCCACGAGCACAGCCUACAUGGAGCUGAGCAGCCUGAGAUCCGAGGACACGGCCGUGUAUUACUGUGCGGCAGACACAACUGGAAGUGCCUCACUGACCCUCUGCCUCACCUGUGCACUCUCUGGUCAGUUCAAGAAACUCAUACACCUGCAACAUCUUUUGCCAAAAGAACCUCCAGGUUCUCAGGGUGAGAAUCCACCUAGAUCCCUGCAUGGCUGUAUUACCAGGAGACUGAAUCUCUGA